rnacentral:tRNA from 1 species
GUAGUUGUGGCCAGGUGGUUAAGGCAAUGGAGUAGAAAUCCAUUGGGGUCUCCCCACGCAGGUUCGUAUCCUGCCAACUAUG